UACGUAGGAUGCAAGCGUUGUCCGGAAUUAUUGGGCGUAAAGAGCUCGUAGGCGGUUUGUCGCGUCUGCCGUGAAAGUCCGGGGCUCAACUCCGGAUCUGCGGUGGGUACGGGCAGACUAGAGUGAUGUAGGGGAGACUGGAAUUCCUGGUGUAGCGGUGAAAUGCGCAGAUAUCAGGAGGAACACCGAUGGCGAAGGCAGGUCUCUGGCAUUAACUGACGCUGAGGAGCGAAAGCAUGGGGAGCGAACAGG
rnacentral:rRNA from 1 species